UGGAACUCCGGGGGAGCGGGGGGUGGAAUACGAGGUGGGGAAGGGUUACGUGGAAUUGCUGGGCGGAAAGGGUGGGUAGGUGGUUUGUUAAGUCUGCUGUGAAAUCCCCGGGCUGAACCUGGGAAUGGCAGUUGAGACUGGAAAGCUAGAGUGCGGUAGAGGGUAGUGGAAUUCCCGGUGUAGCAGUGAAAUGCGUAGAGAUCGGGAGGAACACCAGUGGCGAAGGCGGCUACCUGGACCAGCACUGACACUGAGGCACGAAAGCGUGGGGAGCAAACAGGAUUAGAUACCCCAGUAGUC
rnacentral:rRNA from 1 species